CUCCGGGCUGAGCGGGGAUGUCGUCCCCGUGGCGGCUGCUCCCGGGUCGGGGGACGCGUGGGGAGCGCGGGAUCGCUGCAGCCCGCGAGAGGCACGCGCAAGCCGUGGAGACCUGGGCCUCCGCGCGGCUCGGGCGCUUCGGGGCGCUUCGGGAAGCCCGGCGCUGAGCGGGCMCCUCGCGCACGCAGCAACCCCUCGUUUCCCACAGCGGCCGGUGCCGCUCGCGCCCCUUAUCCGCGGCGCCUUGGGGAGCGAGGACGGGGCCUCGGCCCUGCGGCGAAACACCCGCCGCGCCCCGGCAGCAGCCCCGCCGGAGCUGGCCCUCGGGGACGUCGCGGGGCGACGCUGCCUCCUGCCACGAGGCCGCGGGGCGCGUGGCCUCUCCCGGGCGGCCCCGCACUCCGAGGGGCGAAGGCCCGGAAAGGCCGGCGGGCGGAUCCGGGCUCCCCCGGGCUGGCGGCAGCAUCGGGCCCGGCGCAGGGGCGACGGAGGCGCCAGCGCAGCCCCUCGCCCCUGCACCGAGGAGCCCUUCGCGCUGCCCCGCCGGGCUCCGGCUGCUCACGUGACGUGGUCCCUCGGGAUCCUUCCCGGCACCGUGGGAAUUUCUGCCCCAGCCGGGCGGUGGGGGGCUGUGCGCGUCGGCACACAGUGUGCUGGCACGUGGGUACAGCUACACCAGUGCGGCUGCAUGCUGCUACACUGGUACACUGCUACACUGGUACACCAGUACACCUGCACACUGCUACACUGGUACACAGGUGCACUGGUACACCUGCACACUGUUACACAGGUACAGGUACACCAGUACACCCACACACUGCUGCACCGGUACACAGGUACACUGGUACACCUGCACAAUAUACCACCACACCUGCACACUGUUGCACUGUUACACAGGUAAACAGGUACAYGGCUACACCUGCACACUGCUACAUGAGUACAGAAGUACACCGCUACACCUGCACACUGGUGCCCUGUUACACUGGUACACAUGCACACCAGUACACCGUUACAUUGGUACACAUGGACACCGGUACACCAGUGCACUGUUACACUGGUACAGCGCUACACCUGCACACCGGUGCACUGUUACACCUGCAUAGUGGUACACCAGUGCACUGUUACACUGGUACACCCGCACACAGGUACAGCCGCAGCCCGGCCCGCCGGUGCGCCUGGCCGCGCUGAGCCCCCCGCGGCCUCGCCGCCCCCUAAUCCUGCCCGGACCCAGCGCCGCCCUCGCCGCUCCCYGGAGCAGACGGGUCUCCGCAAUUUGCGCCUAAUUACAAACGUCACGAGACUUACUCCAAAAGCGAAGCCGAAGGGCUUUACAGAUCACUACCUAACUCGAUUUAGAAAGUGCGAUGGCAGGGAAUAACCCAGGCUGUUCCCCCUUGUUGUGACAAGUUCUCGUGCGGCCCAAGGACAGCGGACGCAGACCGGCAGGGUUACGGCUCUGAAGGAAAGUCAGCAGCGAGCUAAAGGACAGCUGGGAUUCAUAUUGGAAUAUUUUUAACAUGCUCUUACAAAUACUUUGGCGUACGCCUAUUCCACUCCUUUUAAUGAUGUUGACUUCAUUUCCUUUAACAUGGGGGGAAAAUGCUACACCAACAAAACCUAAUUAAAUUAAUAGGAAGAAACAAUAAUAAAUAAUUCCCGUUGUAUGACUGCUGGGUUGCA
rnacentral:lncRNA from 1 species